AUCAAUGAAAUUAAAUGUAUAUUUGCAAGAAUUGGCCAGAAUCUAAAAAACACCAGUGGUGGGAGGCAUUAUUGGAAUGGUUACUCGCUGGCACAGGGAUCUUCAACUUGGCCCUGAAUCCCAUUGUAAUAAUUUUGAUGUUCCAAGUAGUAGUGAUCUUCAGUAGUGAGAUACAGCUAGUUAACUGAUGGAAAAAUCCACACUGCAGGUUGGAAAACUACAGGCUGGAAAACUCUCCAUUUAACUUAACCUCUGCUUAGCCCUUUUUUUCAUGAACAAGCUAUGUAAUGCUAACAAAUUGGGAAUAAAAAGAGGAAGGAUUCUGGGCUUGGUGGAUGCUUGAACACUUGGACACCUCUCAAGUUCCCCUGCAGACAGAAGGCUGGCCACUGGAUGUCUACAGUUAUCCACUCGAGACAUCUUCAAAACCCUGGUGACAACCAGCAGGAAAAGUGAAGAAAAGGAAUCUGAAGAGAAAUAGGGAAGAAAGAGUUAUGGUGAAGAGCCUUGAAGAUAGCCUCUCAGUGCUAGGAUCCAUAACCAUCUGCACUAGCAGUCCCAGGAUUUCAGCUGUUAAAGAUUCCUUUGACAAGAACCCAGCAAUGUUACCCAGUAAUAGGAAAUCAGAAGCAAUUCAAUGGUGCAGAAUUUAGUAUAAUAUUCUUCCUCUUUUCCUUCUUUUUUUUGCAUAUUAAGUAACUUUGCUCUAGAUG